rnacentral:lncRNA from 1 species
GGUGCAUAUAAAUUUAGGAUAGUUAGCUCUUCUUGUUGAAUUGAUCCCUUUACCAUUAUGUAAUGGCCUUCUUUGUCUCUUUUGAUCUUUGUUGGUUUAAAGUCUGUUUUAUCAGAGACUAGGAUUGCAACCCCUGCUUUUUUUGCUUUCCAUUUGCUUGGUAGAUCGUCCUUCAUCUCUUUAUUUUGAGCCUAUGUGUGUCUCUGCAUGUGAGAUGGGUCUCCUGAAUACAGCACACUGAUGGGUCUUGAUCUUUAUCCAAUUUGCCAGUCUGUGUCUUUUAAUUGGGGCAUUUAGUCCAUUUACAUUUAAGGUUAAUAUUGUUAUGUGUGAAUUUGAUCCUGUCAUUAUGAUGUAUUUUAAUUACACAAUUAGUUCAUGAUUACAUUCUAAGAAAAAUCAAAUACAAUACAAAGUGAAAGCCUCAUUCAUUAAAUUUUCUGUCUAUCAUGAGUGGAUACAGUCUUGUUUCCCAAAUUCAGUGUCUUCAUGCUGUAGGGGUUGGAGUUGACCGUGAGUGGCUCAUCUUUUGGGCGUGGGACUGUCUGAACUUUUUGGGUCUCUUGGGGCUUCCAAGGAACCGUGUGCGUCUCCUCAUUCCCCGACCUGCUUGAGGCAAACACCUACUGGAGUCCCUCAACUCUUCCUCGGCUUGCUGUAACUGGUGUCCCA